rnacentral:rRNA from 1 species
GACGAACGCUGGCGGCGUGCUUAACACAUGCAAGUCGAGCGGUAAGGCCCUUUCGGGGGUACGACGAGCGGCGAACGGGUGAGUAACACGUGGGUGACCUGCCCUUACGCUCUGGGAGUAAGCCUGGGAAACGUAGGGUCUAAUACCGGAUAUGACUCCAUGACGCAUGUUGUGGGGUGGAAAGCCUUGUGCGGCUAGGGAUGGGCCCGCGGCCUAUCAGCUUGUUGGUGGGGUGAUGGCCUACCAAGGCGACGACGGGUAGCCGGCCUGAGAGGGCGACCGGCCACACUGGGACUGAGACACGGCCCAGACUCCUACGGGAGGC